AGAGCGGGAGCGGCUCGCAGCGGCUGUGGCCGUCCGGGUGGUGCGCACCUGGCGGCGGGCAGCGUGCGUUCCGUGUCUCUGGGCAGAGCGGUGCUGCCUGGGAGCGUGCCUCGUCCUUCAGCUGGCCCGUGAGAAACCGUUCCCUUCGGACGCAGCUUAGAACCGUACAGUUGGAAGGGACCGCUGAAGGUCAGUUCCCCCGUGCUGGCUGACCUCUGCCAUCGCUGGGCCGGCCGUGCUGUUCACACGUGCAUCCCCGCCUGUUUGGCGUGCUCGCUUCCCAGAGCCUGGCAGCGGCGUGAAGGGAAGAAGCUUUUGCGGACCGGUGGGCGGCAUUUUGUGUUGCUUUGCUGCGGGCCUCCUGAAUUCUGCCCCCUCCAGGAUGGAGGUACCCAUCUCCUCGGAGGGCUCCCAGGGUCUCUCCUGGAGAGUCCUCCUCGUCCUGGAGGCUGCGCGUGAGGUGCGCGAUGUAGGUGGUGGCCAGGAGGAGCACGUCCAGCUUGGAGAGCUUGGUGUCGGGCGGCACGGAGGGCAGCGUCUUCUGCAGCUCCAGGAAGGCAUGGCGCAGGGUCUGCACUCGGCUGCGCUCCCGUGCGGCGUUGGCGGCCGCGGGUCGCCCUGGGCCUGUCCCAGCCCGCUGCCCGACUGCGGGGGGUAGGCAGGGGCUGCUGCCUGCAGCUGGAGGUGGCAGCGACUCGGGCUCCGGGCUCAGGGUCUCCUUGCGGGCCUCAGGUAAAUGCCUACAGUCCAUGGGGGGCUUCCCCAGCAGGGAGUGGCCUGUAAGUGACAAGAGCAUCCAUGAGGCUGGUGGCCGUGGCUGAGGGCUCAUGGUGGUGGGUGAACCUCAGUGCCAGGCCGGAGCCGCCCAAGCUCCUCAUCACCCCUCACCCCAGGCCCACCGUGCUCCCGCUGCACUCACGCUGCAACACUGGGCCCGGUGUGCUGCUAGGAGGAGACUGGAAGCCCCACAGCCAGGAGUCACCAUGGGACCAGGAGCACUGCGGGGUGCAAACAGCAUCCAGGCUGCAAGCACAGCCCCCAGCGUGGCCCCUGCUGGGUACCAAGUACCCGUCUGCAACCUCCGCUUGAAAAUAAACACAGGUUGUGGGCAUGCACCAAGAAAGUUAUUGAGUGAACAUCAUAGUAUUUUCACCACCCAGAGAAGGAGAUAAAGCAUGGAGUCACAUUAUCUCCUGACUACAGAAAUGGAUGCCUUCUAGAAGCAACCCCUAUCAGAAAUGAGAGUGCUGCCAGCUCUGGGAAAGCCGAGGCUUCUAUACGUGGGUGUGAGUGACUUUUGGGCUCACUGUUCAUAAACCAGCUGGUUUGCUGCCACACGCAGGUACAGAGUCAGAACUUUCUGGAUGGUGCUGCGUGGAGCCAGGAGUUGGACUCGAUGGUCCUUCUGGGUCCCUUCCAACUUGGUAUAUUCUACGAUUCUAACUUACACCCUUAAAAAGACUGAUUUUUCUCUCAGCUGGUAUUACGGGGAGCGCUUUCUGUCAGUCACUCCAAGGAUGACAAAGGGGAAAAGAGCCAUAGACCACAGCACCCAUGUUUUGAAGGGGGAAGCUUGACAGCUCAAAAGGUUGGGAACAGUGUCCGCAUGUCCUUGUAAACCCAGCAGCACUCAACCCUUUCUAAGCUUGUCCUAUCGCUUUUGUUUUCUAACUUAAGAAUCGGAGUCCUGUAAGCUAUAUUUCGGCCAUCGGGGGGCAAAAGAAUCAUGUGAGAACAGCAAAAACCUUCCUUUGAGCAAAGCUGCAAUAACUGCUGAAAAGUUCUUUCCCAGCUUCCAGAAAAGACCGUGCCAAGCCCCCAUUCCUUGAGCUCAUUCAGCUCCCCAGCAAUAAAUGCUCCAUGCGCGUUCCCCGCAGUGAGACUCAUACCUGAGGCAGUCGCUCUUAUCCAAGCAGAGCUUCCGAGCUUCCUGGGCAGCUCCUGGCUUCCCUGCCUUGCAGAACUCUGUGCUGCCCUGGGCCAGCAGCAAAGGCACCUUACGAACGCAGUCAAAGACAAUGGGAUUUUAAACAUCUGAACAAAAAUCGAUGCACGUGAACGACUGAAGGUCUGCGUUUACAGAAGCCACACCUUGAUGCUGCAAAGCGUUUCAGCCCCACACUGAAGCCCCCAGAAGUCCCAUUGCAACCACAGUGGACGGCAGCAAAAAAGCCACAGCAGCGACCCAAAGCCAAUGACUGCAAUCAUUAUCAUCUAUGUACAGUAAAACCCAUGGAAAUCUACUUGAGCUCGGCCCGAAUGACAGCAAAAAAAACAGUCUUUAAACUGUUCGCUGUAACUUAAGCUGUGAUCAGGCAAUAGUGUAUUCUUUCCUGGUGUUUUCUCCCUCUGUUAAGCUGCAGUUGGCUCUGCAUGCCUCAUAGUGCCACAGACACCUCGGCUGCCACUGGGUCAGUAUGGUCAUAAACAAAAGCAGAGCGUGGUAGUGCUCCCAGCUUCAGCAGUGGCGUUUCUCGUUUGCACAGGGAUACAGACAGAGUGGGUUAGCAGCGCCGGUCCGUCUGCUAAAACACACUGAGGGCAGGUUUACGUGCAGUUAUGUCUCUGCAGCAUUGGUGUGCGGCAGAGCAGAGUCGUACCUCCUUGUGUACGACAGACAAGAUAGAAACGCACGUACCUGAGCACCUCAUCUCCUCAUGCGUCCCUCGGAAACCGGAGCUUCACAUCUGCAGGGGAUGAAGUCCUGGGCCUGAGGAAAGUCAGCAACAAUUCACCUGCGGAAAUCAGAGCUUUCAUUGGCUCCAACUUCAGCUCUGCGCCGUUGGCUUUUACUGAGUGCACACAGCACCGGCGUGGGACAACGUGACGCCCAGAAAGCCGGGCCGUCUGUGGGGAUGUGCUACGUUUGUGCUCACAUCCCAUGCGCUCGAAGCGGUGAUGGAGGAAAGAAGGGAGAAAAAAAAAAGAAGAAGAAAAGAGAGCGAAAAGCCCCGACGGGACACCAACCCGCACUUACCGUCCCAACCGCACCACCCGCCAGGCCCGGCCCGCCUCCUUUAUAAGCCGGCGGCGGCCGCAGCGCGGGGCCGGGCGCACCUGGCCCCGCCACCGCCCGCGGGCAGCGACCGCCCCUCGCCGGGGGGGGGGACGGCCCGUCAGCCGCGGUUGAGCCGCGCCGCGGCGUGGGUUGGAGCAGCGGGAUCGAAACGGCGGGCCGGGAGUCAAACGGUUUUUGUAGCGGGCUUUCCCUCCGCCCCAUCGCUCGUUCUUUCUCCGGCGUGUCCCGCGGCCGGCCGUCCCUCGGCCCCGCACACCCGUGGGCACCGGGCCGCUCCGAGGCGCGGGCGGGACGAGGUGCGAGGAGGGCCGGUCUGGAACCGAGCGGGGCCAUUGCGGAUCAGUGACGCUAAUGAGGAGGGACGGGGCAAAUAAACAGCGAGGGGAUCGAGUUCUCCCAGAAAAACAUUUUGAAUGGAGCCCGAUUUCACGAUAACGCAGGCACAAUAAAUCAAGCCUUGGGCGCGGUGGAGAAACGAAGUCCGAGCCAUUUGUCACUGCUUUUGCAGCCAAGAAAAUGACGAAGUUAAUCGCUAGCUGCGAGGGGGAGCCCGGGAAGGGGCGGUUUGGGGCAGGAGUGGGGCCGCCCCACAGACCCACAGCCCGUCCUGGGGGUGACGGCUGUCCUGCGGGCGGGCUGCACUGCAGGGGUUUCCCUUCUUCCUUCGGGAGUGGUUCUGACACAAAUCACUCCGUGCGGAUUUACAAGGCCGCAGUUACGGCCUUCGUGUGCACCGUGGAUCACAGCAUCGUGGAAUACCCCGAGUUGGAAGGGACCCGCAAGGAUCGUUGAGUCCAACUCGUGGCUCCACAUCCAAAAUCCAAACCCUGUGUCUGAGAGCACUGUCCGAACUCCAUGAACUCCAACAGCCCACUGCCCUGUGCAGCCCGUUCCAUGCCCACCGCCCUCUGGUGCAGACUCUGUCCCUCACCCCCACCCGCCCCUCCCCUGACACAGCUCCAUGCCGUUCCCUCGGGCCCUGUCGCUGUCACACAGAGCAGAGCUCAGCGCUGCCCCUCCGCUCCCUGUGAGGAGCUGCAGCCGCCAUCAGGCCUCCCCUCAGCUCCUCUGCUCUGCGCUGAGCAAACCAAGGGGCCUCAGCUGCUCCUCACACACCUUGCCCUACAGACCCUUCCCCAUCUCUGUCGCCCUCCUUUGGAUGCUCUCUAAUAGUUUUGUGCCCUCUUUAUGCUGAGGCACCCAAACCUGCACCUGCUGCUUGAGAUGAGGCUGCACAGCAGAGAGCAGAGUAGGACGAUCCCUUCCCUCACCAUCCAGCAGCUGGGCCCGACCCAUCAGCAUGCUGGGCCCGGGAGAAUGACGGCUGUGGCUCCCUGGAGGCUGAUGGAGCACCCCCAGGAGCUCCUCUUUCCUUCCCUGAUGGCCACAGGAGCCCCGGAUCGUGCACACACAUCAGGGGGGUGGUUCUGCCACACCCCAAGGCAGUGUCCUUGCCUGCCCAAGACAUGUCCGUUCAGAAUGGGCUUUUAACUUCUUGCAUUGCAACAAGGAAAACAGAUCCAAUGAUUUUUCCUUGCAUCGACUGUUCAAGUGCAACAGGCUGCUGCAGCUACUGCUGCUUCUCUCCCAGAGAAAUAAAUGCCUGAGUCGCUCCCUUGCCUUACCUUCUACACUGUAUUUCAGAUGUGAGAAAUGCCCCGGUCACAGAAGAGCCAGAUUUCAAGUGUGAUUUAGGUAAGGAACAGCUCUGCUGGAGACAGUGUGAUAUUUUUCCAGGCACGCCUUGCUCCCUUCGUGUCACAUUGCUCUCUGCUUUUAGAGCUCCGGUUCGGUGUGAACACCCGUGGCACUUUGCUCCACUUUGUUCAUUUUCACCCAUUCUUAUUUCUCUGAUAAGAACUUACUUAAAAAAAUGUGUUUGCCCGCUGAUGAGGUACAGCAUGAAUAUUAACACCACUGACUGCAGUGCGGCGUGAGCUGCUGGUCUGGGGAACCUGUGUGAAACCCCACAGCCCAUUCCAGGCAGGGGACUUAAAUAUGUGUAUAAAUAAUAAACUAAAAUCUUAAAGUGAGAGUUGAAAAUACUCAGAACCUAUGAAAACUGUCACACGCCGGAUGACUCACAGCAAAACCCACACUGAGAUGUACUAAAGAUGCAUUCAAUGUUUUUAAGUGGAGAUGUGCAAGGGUGGAAAGGCAUCCCCAGAUAACACCACGCUACAAAGGCCAGAGGGCAGCUUUCCAAUGCCAUGCAUUGAAUCCAGCAGCUGUCAGUGUCCAACGCUCACCAAAAUAUUAACAUUUGUCUUUGGGAAUUGUCUUAACGAGAAGCAGCGUUUACAGUUCUGUCUUCCUGGAGCUGAAUAUCACAGAUGAUGGCAGCAAAACCCAGAAGUUCCGCACUGGGUCAGUACUGAUUUCAGUAAUGGACUAAAAGCAGCAGUCACACGUCAGAACUUUUUUCAUUGUUUCAUUGCUUUCUGUUGUUGUUGUUGUCGUCGUUCUGACGCUGAACUACUCAAAGGCUUUAAUGGAAGCAAAUGGCAGCUCCAGGUUGGGAUACCACUCAAUUAGUACAUUCGUUUUGGAAAUCUGUUUCUUUGUAUCUUGUAACUCAGGGAGAACGCAUACGAGAGUUAAAUUUGUUGCAAUUGCAUUUAUCUAAAGACAACACAAUGACAACAAAAUACACAAAACGCUGAAUGUAAAAAGACAGAUCCUGAUUUUCUAAUUCAGGGAAGAUUCCUUCCUUAUUUCAGGGAGGGUCUCAAGCACGGGACGUCGUACUGACGUUCAGACAGAGAAACUCCAUUAGGAAAGGUUUCAUGCCAGGGGCAAUUCACAGUCCAUACUUUCCUUAUCUGUACGUUUGGAGUUUUCCUGUAUCUGAAGACUUGAGCACUCCAUCUGAUUACUCAAACCAGUGCAAAGCAGCCAAACUCAAGUCCCGGCUACAUAAAGCAGAAGCUGAAGUCAAAUUAAUGUGCAGUAUUCCCAAUCCAAAAAUUCAUCAGUACAGAAACCAUCAAUCUUGUUGAGCUUUCUUCUAACUAUUCCACUUCGGUUACCAGAAACUGGACAAAUCCUAAUUGUGGAAAUAACUUUUUAGGACUACGACUCUCCUCACACACCACGUGCUGGUGGCUCUCUUGUUGCACUAUGGGACUAUUAGCACGCCUCUGUGUCAUUGUUAAGAGUAUCGUACGUGGGAGCAGCCUAAGACACUGCUUAAAGGCACCUCAUUUCCUGAGGAAGGUUCGGAAGAAGGCAACUAGUUUAGCCCACUAAAUAAGUGCUGAUAUUUUCACAUGCUUACAGUACAGAACGUCGCUUCUAAAUAAAUCGGCAGUCACCUUACAUUUUGGGAUGCUCUCGCAAGGCAGUGUUAAGUUCAACAUACUUAUCUGCUUUUUAGAUUAUAAAGACACAGAUAACAUAUUCAAGUAGAUGUCAAUAACUUUCUUUUCAGUUUUGAGAAGGAAAAAAAAAUCCAAUAAUGGCCGACUGUGCAUCCUGUAGCUUCUGCCUUGUAGAAUUCAGCUCGGCUCUGCCGUUACUUCAGGUUCCUCCUCAACCUGCAUCAGAGAGAUCAGAGAAGAGAGAUCAGACCGUUACGCCCAAAGCGCACCAAAGCCACUCUUGCUUCCUUCUUCCUCAACGUGUCUCAGGACCACACCGCGUGUCUACAAAGGUUAUGAUCAGUGUUACCAGAGCUGCAGGUGAAAAAGGAAUGCAAUGUGCUUGGUCCUGCCCUGCUGUGAGGAUAUCAACCUAAUCUGAUGAUCUGGGAUAUGAAGGGGCCCUUAACACAGAGCUGACCAGCUUUUUCCAUAUACGCUCAGAAAUGGCGACAGCUGACAAUUUGGUCAGCCAUCGAGUUUGUAUCAAAUACUGUUGAUUUUCAAGUUCCACGAGAAAUAAAACCUUACCAAUAGUCAAAGCAAUUUCUCAUCUAAAUGAAAUCAGAUAAGACUAAGUCAUUUACUCCAAAAUAUUUUACGACAAAUGACGUGUAACCGAUUACAUCCAACUUUACUAGGCAUGUUAUCAGUGAUUAAUAUCACACUCUAAUAUAUUAACUCUCUAAGAAAGGAAGAUCUUAUUGUUCCAAAGCUCUUUCUGAAUUAAAUUAUUAGUUUGCUACGUGGGUCAUUUCACAGCUGGCUCUGACUUUUCUUGGUUUCAAUGCAGCAAUUAAUUCUGCUCAGAAUUAAGGGAACAGAAAGAUGUCAUUAUUUGUGCAGUCUCUGGUUACAGCGUUACUCGAGAUCGAGAGAGAUUCAAAUACGUCUUUUUAUAGCACUGAACUUUUACAAUCCUUCAAGGUCAGGUGACUGACGAAAUAAAAACGUAGACAGUGAUGACAAAGUGUGAGUAUCCCUACGUAUAGCCUGACGAAGGUCAGAGGAGCACCAGGAGGAGGUAUUCAAGCAGUUCUGCUUUACUUUGUUUCCCUGUUCGUACUGAUAACAGAACAACCACCUCCAAAACCACCGUGGGUUGCUCUGGAAGCAUCAGGGUCUUUAUGGAAAGGCCCGGCCUCAGACCUCCCAGGUCUGCGGUCUCUGUAAUGUGUUUAUAUCACUGCAGUUAAUGGGUGUAUUGAAACUGGCUUCAGCUGCAGAGCUCCCAGAGUUAUACCACGGUUUUACAGAAGUUAUUAAAGCACAGCACCAGUUAUUUACAUUGUUAAUUGGGUGGAUGCUUUGUGCAUAGAAGUGACUUCUACAGUCUUGUACAUUACACAAUAAAAAUGUGCAGUGCUGAGGCAGCAGACUAAAAAGAUCUUACAAAGCUUUGAAUGUUUAUCACAACAGACUGUUCAAGGACUGACAACAGAGACCUAAGGAUAGGAAGAAUACCACGUAGUGUAAACCUGUUUCAUUUAUCUAAUAACUUUUAUAAUGCAGAUACCGUAACACCUGAGAAAUAGAUAUGUAAAGUUUAAUUUUUACUUUUUUUCCUACCCUGUGGUACUUUAUUCCACUUUAAAAUCACUGAACAGCCCUCUGUAUGUAUCUCUGUUAAAAAUGUUAUUAGUAAAAUACUUGUGUACGUUACGUGGAAGGUUUCAAGCAGUCUGCGUUUCAGUGUUGGUGUGAGCAUACAGCAGGUCUGCACACAACAGCCUCCAGACCCAGAUGUGCCCUACUAAUUUCCUGACCCCUCGUUAUGUGCCAAGUUGCACGUGCCUUUUGGUCUUCUAAGGUCAGGGAGAUAACACACAUCUCCUGGAAGAGGAGGCAGACUAAUGCAGGCAGAUGUGCCCCUGCCCCCCUGCCCAUAAGCAUACAGCUCCCAAUGAGGUCGUGCCUGUAAGGAAUGUGCUCAUCCAGACGUGGAGGGAUGUGUGGUCUGGCUGACAAAGCUCAUCAGGAGAUAUGCACCCUCAUUCAGCUAUCUGAGAAAGGAUUUCUUCUUUUCAAG
rnacentral:lncRNA from 1 species